rnacentral:rRNA from 1 species
CGGAGGGGCGUAGCGUUGUUCGGAAAUAACUGGGCGUAAAGACGAACGUAGGCGGCUUGGCAAGUCAGGGGUGGAAAUCCCAGUGCUCAACACUGGAACUGCCUUUGAAACUGCUAGGCUUGAAUCCUGGAGAGGCGAGUGGAAUUCCGAGUGUAGAGGUGAAAUUCGUAGAUAUUCGGAAGAACACCAGUGGCGAAGGCGACUCGCUGGACAGGUAUUGACGCUGAGGUUCGAAAGCGUGGGGAGCAAACAGGAUU